rnacentral:rRNA from 1 species
UACGGGGGGGCAAGCGUUGUUCGGAAUUACUGGGCGUAAAGGGCUCGUAGGCGGCCAACUAAGUCAGACGUGAAAUCCCUCGGCUUAACUGGGGAACUGCGUCUGAUACUGGAUGGCUUGAGUUUGGGAGAGGGAUGCGGAAUUCCAGGUGUAGCGGUGAAAUGCGUAGAUAUCUGGAGGAACACCGGUGGCGAAGGCGGCAUCCUGGACCAACACUGACACUGAUGAGCGAAAGCCAGGGGAGCAAACGGG